rnacentral:rRNA from 1 species
UACAGAGACUGCAAGCGUUAUUCGGAUUCACUGGGCGUAAAGGGUGCGCAGGCGGCCGUGUGUGUGAGGCGUGAAAGCCCGGGGCUCAACCCCGGAAUUGCACCUCAAACUACAUGGCUAGAGCAUUGGAGAGGGUAGCGGAAUUCCUGGUGUAGCGGUGAAAUGCGUAGAUAUCAGGAGGAACACCUGCGGUGUAGACGGCUUUCUGGACCAUUGCUGACGCUGAGACACGAAAGCGUGGGUAGCAAACAGG